CCUACGGGGGGCAGCAGUUUCGAAUCAUUCACAAUGGGCGAAAGCCUGAUGGUGCGACGCCGCGUGAGGGAUGAAGGUCUUCGGAUUGUAAACCUCUGUCACUGGGGAAGAAACGCUAAGCGUGAAUAUCGCUUAGCCUGACUUAACCCGGAGAGGAAGCAGUGGCUAACUCUGUGCCAGCAGCCGCGGUAAUACAGAGACUGCAAGCGUGGUUCGGAUUCACUGGGAGGCGAGGGUGUGCAUGCGGCGUGAAAUCCCGGAGCUUAACUCCGGAACUGCGCCUCAAACUACACGGCUAGAGCAUUGGAGAGGGAAGUGGAAUUCACGGUGUAGCAGUGAAAUGCGUAGAUAUCGUGAGGAACACCAGAGGCGAAGGCGACUUCCUGGACAAUUGCUGACGCUCAGGCACGAAAGCGUGGGGAGCAAAAGGGAUUAGAUACCCGGGUAGUC
rnacentral:rRNA from 1 species